rnacentral:rRNA from 1 species
GAAAGCUUGCUUUGAAUAACUAGUGGCGGACGGGUGAGUAACGCGUGGGUAACCUGCCUUAUACCGGGGGACAACAGUUGGAAACGACUGCUAAUACCGCAUAAGCGCACGAAGAAGGCAUCUUCUAGUGUGAAAAACUCCGGUGGUAUAAGAUGGACCCGCGUCUGAUUAGCCAGUUGGCGGUGUAACGGACCACCAAAGCGACGAUCAGUAGCCGGCCUGAGAGGGCAAACGGCCACAUUGGGACUGAGACACGGCCCAAACUCCUACGGGAGGCAGCAGUGGGGAAUAUUGCACAAUGGGAGGAAACUCUGAUGCAGCCGACGCCGCGUGAGUGAAGAAGUAUCUCGGUAUGUAAAGCUCUAUCAGCAGGAAAGAAAAUGACGGUACCUGACUAAGAAGCCCCGGCUAACUACGUGCCAGCAGCAGC